rnacentral:rRNA from 1 species
GACGAACGCUGGCGGCGUGCUUAACACAUGCAAGUCGAGCGGUAAGGCCUUUCGGGGUACACGAGCGGCGAACGGGUGAGUAACACGUGGGUGAUCUGCCUUGCACUCUGGGAUAAGCCUGGGAAACUGGGUCUAAUACUGGAUAUGACCUCAGCAUGCAUGUGCUGGGGUGGAAAGCUUUUGUGGUGCAGGAUGGGCCCGCGGCCUAUCAGCUUGUUGGUGGGGUAAUGGCCUACCAAGGCGACGACGGGUAGCCGACCUGAGAGGGUGACCGGCCACACUGGGACUGAGACACGGCCCAGACUCCUACGGGAGGCAGCAGUGGGGAAUAUUGCACAAUGGGCGGAAGCCUGAUGCAGCGACGCCGCGUGAGGGAUGAAGGCCUUCGGGUUGUAAACCUCUUUCAGCAGGGACGAAGCGUGAGUGACGGUACCUGCAGAAGAAGCACCGGCUAACUACGUGCCAGCAGCCGCCGUAUAC